UACGAAGGUGGCGAGCGUUGUUCGGAUUCACUGGGCAUAAAGGGCGCGUAGGCUGUGCUGCAAGCGGCGUGUGAAAUUCCGGGGCUCAACCCCGGAACUGCGCGCCGGACUGCAGUGCUCGAGUGCGGGAGGGGGGUGCGGAACUCUAGGUGGAGCGGUGAAAUGCGUAGAUAUCUAGAGGAACACCGGUGGCGAAAGCGACACCCUGGCCCGCAACUGACGCUGAGGCGCGAAAGCGUGGGUAGCAAACAGGAUUAGAUACCCUGGUAGUCCACGCCGUAAACGAUGAGCACUAGGUAGCCGCCGGAUCCGACCGGGGGCUGCUGAAGGUAAUCCAUUAAGUGCUCCGCCUGGGGAGUAUGGUCGCAAGGCUGAA
rnacentral:rRNA from 1 species